rnacentral:rRNA from 1 species
UACGGAGGGGGCGAGCGUUAUUCGGAAUUACUGGGCGUAAAGCGCGCGCAGGUGGCGCGGUAAGUGACAGGUGAAAGCCCUCGGCUCAACCGAGGAAUUGCCUGCCAUACUGCUGCGCUUGAGGCCGGGAGGGGAGAGUGGAAUUCCUGGUGUAGCGGUGAAAUGCGUAGAUACCAGGAGGAACACCGGUGGCGAAGGCGGCUCUCUGGACCGGUUCUGACACUCAUGCGCGAAAGCGUGGGGAGCAAACAGG